GAUAACAGCCUGCACACACUGAGGAAAGAGACAGCAAGCAUCCAAACCAAAAGCAGCCCUCAAGGAAAAAAAAAAAAAAAAAAAAAAAGUAAACCCUCAUAAACUGCCCAGGGGCACUCUCGCAUAUAAAUAACCCCCCAAGAAUACAGUAUUUGUUUUUCCUCAACUCACAGAAUAUAGGAAAAAUAAAAGCAAAAUGAAGAGGCUCAGGAACCAUUCCCAGUUAAAAGAACAGAAUUCCCCUGAAUGAGCAGUGAAACAGACCUCUGCAGUGUAACAGACACAGAGUUCAAAAAGGAGAGAGUGAAAAUACUGAAGGAAUUAAAAGAGUGGAGGUGAAGAGUAAUACAGAUUAAUUUAGAAAGGAACUAGAAAAUGUGAGGAGGAGCUAAGAAAAAAGAAAAUUCAUCUGCAGAGAUGCAAGCUGAGUUAAAGGCACUGAAGAGCAGAAGGAAGGAGGCAGAGAAAGGAAUAAGCGACUUGGAAUAUAGAAUAAUGGAAAUCACCCAAUCAGGACCACACACAAAAAAACAAAAAAUGACAGGAAUAAAAGAUUUAUAGGAUAAUAUAAAGCAAGCCAAUCUACACAUCACAGGGAUUCCAAAAAAGGAGAAGAAAACAAAAAGGGGAUUGAAAAUAUAUUUGAAGAAAUUAUGGCUAAGAACUUUCCAAAUCUAAAGGAAACAGACAUCAAGAUACAGGAAGCACUGAAGGCCCCGAACAAGUUGAACCCAAACAGACCCACAUGAAGACAUUAUAAUAAAAAUUGCGGAAGUUAAAGAUAAGCAGAUUCUAAAGGCAGCAAGAGAAAAGCAAAGUUAGUUAUAAGGGAACCCCCCAUAAGACUAUCAGCUGAUUUCUCUACAGAAAGACUACAGGCCAGAAGAGGGUGGCAAGAUAACUUCUAAAAGGGAAAAAAUUGCAGCCUGCAGUACUCUACCCAGCAAGAAUUAUCAUUUAAAUAGAAGGAGAAAUAAAGAAUUUCUCCAACAAACAAAAACUAAAAGAUACAGCAAUACUUAAACCCAUUCUAAAAGCAAUACCGAAACGGUUCCUCUAAACAGGAAAGAAGUUAACAAGACAGAGGAUGGAGGAAAUCACAAUUGGAAAGCCAUCACUUAAAUAAGCCAGUAUUCAAAUUCAAAAGGCAAAAGAUAAAACCUAUUUGUAAAAGUGAUGAUAAAUAAGUACAAGGACAGCAAAAGGAUAAACAUGAAGAUGUAAAAAAAGGACUUCAAAGUCAUAAAAUGUGGGAAAGGAAAGACAAUCUUGACUUUUCAAUCAAAAGACAGAGUGGCAGACUAGCUAAAAAAGCCUACAAUAUGCUGUCUACCGGAGACUCAUCUUAGCGAGUGAAAAUGAGGGGAUGGAAAAAGAUAUUUCAUGGGAACGGAAAAGAGAGGAAAGCAGGAGUUGGAAUACUCAUAUCAGACAAAAGAGAUUUUAAAACAAAGGCCAUAAAGACAAAGAAGGUCACCAUUUAAUGAAAAAGUAUCCAUUCAAGAAGAGGAUAUUUAGGAGUUCACGUGGUGGCGCAGCAGAAACAAAUCUGACUAAUAGCCACGAGGACACAGGUUCGAUCCCUGGCCUCACUCAGAGGGUCAGGGAUCUGAUGUUGCCAUGCACUGUGGUGUAGGUCACAGACACUGCUCAGAUCUGGUGUUGCUGUUGCUGUGGCACAGGCCAGCAGGUGUAGCUCCAAUUCGAUCCCUAGCCUGGGAACUUCCAUAUGCUGCAGGUGUGGCCCUAAAAAACAAAAAACAAAAGGAGGAUAUUACACUCAUCUCUCCCUCUCUCUCUCCCCCCCCCAUAUAUAUAUCCCUAAUCUCUCUCUAUAUAUAUAUAUGUGUGUGUGUGUGUGUGUGUGUGUGUGUAUAUCCCUAAUCUAAGAGAACCCAAAUACAUACAAGAAAUACCAACAGACAUAAAAGGAGAAAUUGAUGAGAAUACAAUAAUAGAUUUUAACACCCCACUCACAUCAAUGGGCAGAUCCUCUAGGCAGGAAAUGAGACAGCAGAGAUCCCUAAAUGACAAAAUACAACAGUUAGAUUGAAUUGAUAUUUUCAGGACAUUAGAUCAAAAAAAAAACCCUAGAAUAGGAAUUCCUGUCAUGGCUCAGUGGUUAAUAAAUCCAACUAGGAACCAUAAGGUUGCAGGUUUGAUCUCCGGCCCGUUCAGUGGGUUAAGGAUCUGGCAUUGCUGUGAGCUGUGGUGUGGCUAGAAAAGACAAAAAACAAAAACAAACAAUAUACAUUCUUUUCAAGUGCACAUGGAACAUUCUCAAGGAUUGAACACAUACUACAGCACAAAACUAACGUCAACAAAUUUAAGAGUACAAAAAUUAUUGCAAGCAUCUUCUCUGAGCACAAUGGCAUGAAACCAGAAAUCAACCACAGGAAAAGAAAUGAGAAAAAAAUGACUACAUGGAAAUUAAACAACAUGCUACUAAAAAAACCAAUGGGUCACUGAGGAACUCAAAAGGGAAAUUAAAAAAUACCUCGAGACAAAUGAUUACCAAACACAACCAUUCAAAAUCUAUGGGAUGUCACAAAAGCAAUUCUUAGAAAUGCAUAGUGAUACAGGCCUUUCUCAAAAAAGAAAAAUCUCGGAGUUCCCGUCAUGGUGCAGAAGGAACAAAUCCGACUAGGAACCAUGAGGUUGCGGAUUCAAUCCCUGGCCUCGCUCAGUGGGUUAAAGAUCCAGUGUUGCCGUGAGAUGUGGUGUAGGUUGCAGACGCAGCUAGGAUCUGGCAUUGCUGUGGCUGUGGUGUAUGCCAGCAGCAACAGCCCCGAUUCAACCCCUAGCCUGGGAAUCUCCAUAUGCCAUGGGUGCAGCUCUCAAGAGACCAAAGACACACACACACACACACACACACACACAAAAGAAAAAUCUCAAAUCAACAACUUAGCCUACCACCUUAAAGAAUUAGUAAAUCAACAAACAAAAGCUAAAGUCAGCAGAAGGAAGGAAGUCAUAAAGAUCAGAGAGGAAAUCAAUGAAACAGAUUAAAAAGAAAAAAGUUAAUAAAACCAAGAGCUGGUUCUCUUAAAGGGUAAAAUAAAAUUGACAAAGCUCUGUCCAGAC
rnacentral:lncRNA from 1 species